UGAUCCUGGCUCAGAUUGAACGCUGGCGGCAGGCCUAACACAUGCAAGUCGAGCGGUAGCGGGAAGAGCUUGCUCUUUGCCGACGAGCGGCGGACGGGUGCGUAACACGUAGGAAUCUGCCCGGUAGUGGGGGAUAGCCCGGAGAAAUCCGGAUUAAUACCGCAUACGCCCUAAGGGGGAAAGCAGGGGAUCUUCGGACCUUGCGCUAUCAGAUGAGCCUGCGUCGGAUUAGCUGGUUGGUGGGGUAAAGGCCUACCAAGGCGACGAUCCGUAGCUGGUCUGAGAGGAUGAUCAGCCACACUGGGACUGAGACACGGCCCAGACUCCUACGGGAGGCAGCAGAA
rnacentral:rRNA from 1 species